UAGGGAAUCUUCCACAAUGGACGCAAGUCUGAUGGAGCAACGCCGCGUGAGUGAAGAAGGGUUUCGGCUCGUAAAAGCUCUGUUGUUAAAGAAGAACGUGGGUAAGAGUAACUGUUUACCCAGUGACGGUAUUUAACCAGAAAGCCACGGCUAACUACGUGCCAG
rnacentral:rRNA from 1 species